CGGGAUGUAGCUCAGCUUGGUAGAGCGCCUGCUUUGGGAGCAGGAAGUCGCAGGUUCAAAUCCUGUCAUCCCGA
rnacentral:tRNA from 1 species